CAUGAACCAGUCCUCCAUGAUGUCUGAAUCUGAAGUAGCUGCUUUGUCUUUUGAAGUCCAACAAAGUGCUUUGUAUUGUUUCAGGGUUUGCUGCCUCUACUUCUAUUCUCAAGCCAUGGGGAAGGAUUUUCAAUAAGGUACUUGAAUGUACUUGAAGGCAUGUGUGUUCAAAAUGUAUUAGCAAGAUAGAUAGCACUGUUUUUCAGAGGCCACUGUGUUCCAUCAGACAAAAACGACAACAACAACAGCAACAAAAGAGAAUGUUUUAAAGGCUGUGAAGACUAGCACUUGAAAGCUAGAGAAUGACAGAAGUAAGAUUACACUGUGGGUUUUAUAUACCCGUGCUUUCUCCUGACCCAUAGAUUUUAUUCUUCAGUGAAGUCCUCAAAUCUAUCUGUGAAUAAAGGAAUAUUAAUUCUCUCAACGUCUUGGCUACUGCAUUCAUUGCUGUUAUAUCUAUGGGUUUCAGUAAUAUGAAGUCAUUCCUGC